rnacentral:lncRNA from 1 species
AAUGGAUGAAAUAUGAAGUUUUAUUAAAAGAAAAAGGGUGAAAAGAACAAAGUUUUGUCCAUCUUUGUUCAUCAUAGCUGAAAGUUAGAGAAGAGAAAGGAGAGGAGAAAGCUCUUGAGUAUUCGGUCAUUAGGAGGAGGAAAAUUCAAGGUAAGUUCUUGGUACCUUGCUUCUAUUUUGAGGUUCAUGAGUUCUUCUUGAUUCUACCUUAACUCUUGAAGUAUAUUUUGAUUUUUAGUUGUGUUGUGAGCAUUUAGUCAUGAAUUAAAAUGAAGGAAAUGAUUGUGUUUUCAUGUUCUUUUGAUGAAAAAUGGAAGAUAGGUGAAGUUGAGCCAAACAAAUGAACAUGCAUGUGCCUUAGAUGCUAAAGGGAAAAAUCAGCUAACAUGUUGUGCUUUAAAAUGAUGAAAUGGAGAUUAUACUUAAGUAAAAUCAUAGAUAUGUGAUGAUUGAUUGGUGAUAUACAUGUUUAAAUAACAAGCAUGCAAGUUAGGUGUGAAAGAGUGAUUUGGUGAUAAAUCUGCUUGGGACAGCAGCAGUAAUGUGACUUUGGAAAAUCACCAUAAAUUGUGGGAGAUGAGUUAGAAGCUGAAUAAAUUAUGUAAUUAAAGCUUAUUGAGUCUAGUUUCUAAUGAAAUAAACAAGAACAUAUUUUGAAUUCUGUACAAUGAGAAGUUUGAUUCGUAAUGAAGAGUGGUCAGAUUAGUCAAACAGUGAAACAUGGGAAACUUUAAGAAAAAUCUGGUAUUGAUUGGUCAUACCAAAAAUUCUGAAAAUUUUAUGGAUAAAAGAUAUAUGAGUCUAUUUUCAAGGAAAACUAACGGCACUUGAUUUGGAGUUUCGUAGCACCAAUUAUAAAUAAUUUAGUGACUGUUGCUCAGGAAGACAGCUUGCAGUGAAAUUAUGAUUAUGUGGUAAACAUUGACAAAAAUUUGUUAAUGAGUUGCUUAUUGAUUUCUUAUAAGCUUACUAUGAUCUGUAGGUGUGGUUGGCCGAAUAUUGUAAGGGGUUAAUACGUAGUUUGUAUUUGAAUAGUUAGAUUAACGUGUUAGUAAUCCAAUUGUAGGCGGUUCGUGUGUGGAUCUCGUCAGCAUAUCGUCGCAAACAGGUGUGUAACUGACACCCUCUCAUAGACUAGAUUGGCAAAAGCCAAAAUGCCGAAAUGCUGAAAAGUAGGUAUUUUGGGAAUUUGUGAGUGUGCGAAUGCUCGUAAGAUAGUUGGGUUUGUAUAUUUGGUAAUCUAAAGUAAUAAACUGCAGUACGCGCGAUUUCGUACAUUUUGAUAAUUUGGGCUUAAUGGGCCAAAGAUCGGGUUCAUGGGCCAACGGGCCCAAUUCAGUAAGUAUGUGCGGUAAGUGUUCUGAUAGUACGUAAAUAGUUAGGAUAUGCAUGAAAACCCUAAAAGUAGCUAAAUUACUAUAAUACCCCUAUGUAUGGAAAAUUACUGUUAUACCCCUAGGUGCAAAAUUACCGUUAUACCUCUAGGGUUAAUUUUGACUGAAAAGCAUGACGAUCUGAUUCUGUAUGAUGUAUGCCAUGAUUAUAUAUCUGUUGCAUGGGGACAUGGGUUAUAUUAUGGAGGAAGCGUUCUGGUGGCUAUGCCACAAAUAUCUGAUCUAGUGGCUCUGCCACAUAUAUCUGUUCUGGUGGCUCUGCCACGAUUAUCUGUAUCUGGUGACUCUGUCAUAUUAUCUGUUCUAGUAGCCAUGCUGCAAAUUCUGUGGUGUGUAGCGGUGGGUGGGUCGAGUUGUCUCCCCACACGGUGUAAGGUUGGUAUGGGGGUGUAUACGGUUGGAUAUGGUUGGGUUUCUGCAUAAACAUGUAAUAUCUGUUCUGUUCUGUUAUGGGCCUAUGGGUUUUAUUCUGAAUUCUGUUCUGGGCUAAGGCCAACUUAUUAUGUUUCUGUGGGUUGAGCUGAUUUAGACUAUGAUUCGGUUAUUUUACACACUGAGUUUCCCCAAACCCACCCCUUUUAUUUUCAUCCAAGCAGGUAAUCCCCAACCAUAGUGGGCUUGGAGCUGUAAGGGAAUUCGGAGUGGCCACCCGUUCUGAAAGUUUGAUUUUCUUCUGGUGAACUGAACAUCCUUUUAUUUACGUUUGAAGUUUUGGGUUUUUAAAUGUAAUAAGGCCGCUUAAUUAUUUUUGAUGGUUUUAAUAUGUAUUACUAAGAUAGGUAUUACUUAUUUUAACUGUUGAAAUUGGAUAGCUUUAGGGCGCGUUUUCAAAAACAACAAUUGAUUUCAAAAUAACACGACAACAAGCAAAGCUUCCGCAAUGAAAGUAUUUUUCAAAAUUAAUCAGUUUUCUUAAAAAUGACUUAAUCAAAUUAGUUUCCUAGAAAUAUCCAUGACGUUAAGGUGUGGCAAUGGUGGUAUGCAUGUCUAGGAUUGGAUCCGAAGGGAGCUUGGUACUUAAGCAGUCCGAUGGACUCACCACCUCUUUUUCGGUUUCCUACCUGGUGCACAGCUUCCAUUCACCUUAACCCUUAAUGAAUUAAUCUUUUGAACAUCAAGUACGAUUUUCUGGACUUAGAAUGGAAAAUUUUUUUUUAACGUUUUUGAUGUGGCAUGCUGGAUCCGGCCAUAACUUCUGGGCCGAGUUUGGGGUGUUACACCCUUUGCAACAAACCUUGCUUUAUAUCUGGGUUCUUCAACUCCUAGAGCACAUUCUUUCUUUUUAAACACCCAUUUACAACGAAUAACCUUUUUACCUUUAGGAAGUUCCACAAGAUCCUAUGUUUUAUUUUUGUGGAGUGAUUCCAUCUCCUGUUGUAUAGCAAACAUCCACUUUUCUGAGUCUUCACAGCUAAUCGCCACAGAAUAAUUAGAUAGCUCUUGGUUUGCAUCUAUAUCUUUAGAUACAUUUAAAGCAUAAGCAACUAGAUCAGCCUCAGCAUACUUCUUUGGAGGUUUAAUUUCUCUUCUAGUUCUAUUUUUGGCGAUAGAGUAUUGUGGUGAAGAAGCAACUCUAUUCUAAAUUUUUGUACUAGCUUGAGGUUUAAUUUGAUGCUUCACUGCUUUUGAUUUUCUUUAUUGGAAGAGUCUUUAAGAGAUAAGUGAGAUAGCAUAGCAGUUUCACCAAAAACAACAUCUUUGCUAAUCAAAACUUUUCUAUUUUCAGGAUACCAUAACUUAUACCCUUUUACACAAGCUUUAUAACCAAGAAAAACACAUUUAAUGGAUCUCGGUUCCAAUUUUCCAUUAUCAACAUGAGCAUACACAAGACACCCAAAGAUCUUUAAAUUAGAAUAAUCAGCCGGAUUACCAGACCAUACCUCUUGUGGAGUCUUUUUCUCAAUGGCAACGGAUGGAGAUCGGUUGAUAAAAAACAUGCAGUAGAGGCUGCUUCGGCCCAAAACGACUUUAGUAAGUUGGAAUUUGACAACAUACAUCAAAUCUUCUCCAUGAUCGUUCUGUUCAUUCGUUCUACAAUGUCGUUUUGCUGUGGAGUAUGAUGAACUGUCAAGUGUCUCACAAUCCCUUCUGACUUGCACAGUUUAUUAAACUCAUCAGAACAGAACUCUAAGCCAUUGUCUGUGCGAAGGUAUUUUGUUUAUUUUCCCAUCUAUUUUUCAAUCAUAGUUUUCCAAUACUUAAAUGCGGAAAACACAUCGCUUUUCUUCUUCAGCAAGAACGCCCAAACUUUUCUGAAAAAAUCAUCAAUAAAAGUUAGCAUAUAAUUAGCUCCACCUCUCGAAGGCACUCUUGAUGACCCUCACAGAUCAGAAUGAAUAUACUUCAACGUUCUCUUCGUGUUAUGAAUUCUUCUGGUGAAUCAAACUCUCUUUUAUUUCCCAA